UUGAACGCUGGCGGCAUGCUUUACACAUGCAAGUCGAACGGCGGCGGGGGCUUCGGCCUGCCGGCGAGUGGCGAACGGGUGAGUAAUGCAUCGGAACGUACCCAGUCGUGGGGGAUAACUACGCGAAAGCGUAGCUAAUACCGCAUACGCCCUGAGGGGGAAAGCGGGGGAUCGCAAGACCUCGCGCGAGUGGAGCGGCCGAUAUCAGAUUAGCUAGUUGGUGGGGUAAAGGCCCACCAAGGCGACGAUCUGUAGCUGGUCUGAGAGGACGACCAGCCACACUGGGACUGAGACACGGCCCAGACUCCUACGGGAGGCAGCAGUGGGGAAUUUUGGACAAUGGGCGCAAGCCUGAUCCAGCAAUGCCGCGUGCAGGAUGAAGGCCUUCGGGUUGUAAACUGCUUUUGUACGGAGCGAAAAGGUCUGCCCUAAUACGGUGGGCUCAUGACGGUACCGUAAGAAUAAGCACCGGCUAACUACGU
rnacentral:rRNA from 1 species